AUACGAAGGGGGCUAGCGUUGUUCGGAAUUACUGGGCGUAAAGCGCACGUAGGCGGAUAUUUAAGUCAGGGGUGAAAUCCCAGAGCUCAACUCUGGAACUGCCUUUGAUACUGGGUAUCUUGAGUAUGUAAGAGGUAAGUGGAAUUCCGAGUGUAGAGGUGAAAUUCGUAGAUAUUCGGAGGAACACCAGUGGCGAAGGCGGCUUACUGGUCCAUUACUGACGCUGAGGUGCGAAAGCGUGGGGAGCAAACAGCAUUAGAAACCCUAGUAGUCC
rnacentral:rRNA from 1 species